rnacentral:rRNA from 1 species
UACGGGGGGGGCAAGCGUUGUUCGGAAUUACUGGGCGUAAAGGGUCGGUAGGUGGCCGAUUAAGUCAGACGUGAAAUCCCUCAGCUUAACUGGGGAACUGCGUCUGAUACUGGUUGGCUUGAGUGCAGGAGAGGAACGCGGAAUUCCAGGUGUAGCGGUGAAAUGCGUAGAUAUCUGGAGGAACACCGGUGGCGAAGGCGGCGUUCUGGACUGCAACUGACACUGAACGACGAAAGCCAGGGGAGCAAACGGG